rnacentral:rRNA from 1 species
ACAGGCUUAACACAUGCAAGUCGAGGGGCAGCAUUUUAGUUUGCUUGCAAACUGAAGAUGGCGACCGGCGCACGGGUGAGUAACACGUAUCCAACCUGCCGAUAACUCCGGAAUAGCCUUUCGAAAGAAAGAUUAAUACCGGAUAGCAUACGAAUAUCGCAUGAUAUUUUUAUUAAAGAAUUUCGGUUAUCGAUGGGGAUGCGUUCCAUUAGUUUGUUGGCGGGGUAACGGCCCACCAAGACUACGAUGGAUAGGGGUUCUGAGAGGAAGGUCCCCCACAUUGGAACUGAGACACGGUCCAAACUCCUACGGGAGGCAGCAGUGAGGAAUAUUGGUCAAUGGGCGAGAGCCUGAACCAGCCAAGUAGCGUGAAGGAUGAAGGCUCUAUGGGUCGUAAACUUCUUUUAUAUGGGAAUAAAGUUUUCCACGUGUGGAAUUUUGUAUGUACCAUAUGAAUAAGGAUCGGCUAACUCCGUGCCAGCAGCCGCGGUAAUACGGAGGAUCCGAGCGUUAUCCGGAUUUAUUGGGUUUAAAGGGAGCGUAGGUGGAUUGUUAAGUCAGUUGUGAAAGUUUGCGGCUCAACCGUAAAAUUGCAGUUGAAACUGGCAGUCUUGAGUACAGUAGAGGUGGGCGGAAUUCGUGGUGUAGCGGUGAAAUGCUUAGAUAUCACGAAGAACUCCGAUUGCGAAGGCAGCUCACUAGACU